GACGAACGCUGGCGGCGUGCUUAACACAUGCAAGUCGAACGGUAAGGCCCUUCGGGGUACACGAGUGGCGAACGGGUGAGUAACACGUGGGUGAUCUGCCCUGCACUUCGGGAUAAGCCUGGGAAACUGGGUCUAAUACCGGAUAGGACUCCGGACUGCAUGGUCUGGGGUGGAAAGCUUUUGCGGUGUGGGAUGGGCCCGCGGCCUAUCAGCUUGUUGGUGGGGUGAUGGCCGGCCAAGGCGACGACGGGUAGCCGGCCUGAGAGGGUGACCGGCCAGACUGGGACUGAGAUCCGGCCCAGCCUCCUACGGGAGGCAGCAGUGGGGAAUAUUGCACAAUGGGCGCAAGCCUGAUGCAGCGACGCCGCGUGAGGGAUGACGGCCUUCGGGUUGUAAACCUCUUUCAGCAUCGACGAAGCGAAAGUGACGGUAGGUGCAGAAGAAGGACCGGCCAACUACGUGCCAGCCGCCGCCGUAA
rnacentral:rRNA from 1 species